rfam:Phaseolus vulgaris cultivar G19833 chromosome 1, whole genome shotgun sequence.
UGAAUCUUUCGAAAUGUUGAGUACUCAAACUACGAUUUGAGUGCGAUGAAUACUUUUCAUUGAAUAGGAAGAUCUGAUGC